rnacentral:rRNA from 1 species
UAGGGAAUCUUCGGCAAUGGGGGGAACCCUGACCGAGCAACGCCGCGUGAGUGAAGAAGGUUUUCGGAUCGUAAAGCUCUGUUGUUAAGGAAGAACGAGUGUGAGAAUGGAAAGUUCAUGCUGUGACGGUACUUAACCAGAAAGGGACGGCUAACUACGUGCCAGCAGCCGCGGUAAUACGUAGGUCCCGAGCGUUGUCCGGAUUUAUUGGGCGUAAAGCGAGCGCAGGCGGUUAGAUAAGUCUGAAGUUAAAGGCAGUGGCUCAACCAUUGUAGGCUUUGGAAACUGUUUAACUUGAGUGCUGAAGAGGAAAGUGGAAUUCCAUGUGUAGCGGUGAAAUGCGCAGAGAUAUGGAGGAACACCAGUGGCGAAGGCGACUUUCUGGUCUGUAACUGACGCUGAUGUGCGAAAGCGUGGGGAUCAAACAGG